CAGCCCACGGUAAUACGUAGGUGGCAAGCGUUGUCCGGAAUUAUUGGGCGUAAAGGGCUCGCAGGCGGUUUCUUAAGUCUGAUGUGAAAGCCCCCGGCUCAACCGGGGAGGGUCAUUGGAAACUGGGAAACUUGAGUGCAGAAGAGGAGAGUGGAAUUCCACGUGUAGCGGUGAAAUGCGUAGAGAUGUGGAGGAACACCAGUGGCGAAGGCGACUCUCUGGUCUGUAACUGACGCUGAGGAGCGAGAGCGUGGGGAGCGAACAGGAUUAGAUACCCCCGUAGUCCCUGUCUCUUAUACAA
rnacentral:rRNA from 1 species